GAUGAAGAACGCAGCGAAAUGCGAUAAGUAAUGUGAAUUGCAGAAUUCAGUGAAUCAUCGAAUCUUUGAACGCACAUUGCGCCCCCUGGUAUUCCGGGGGGCAUGCCUGUUCGAGCGUCAUUUCACCACUCAAGCCUCGCUUGGUAUUGGGCAACGCGGUCCGCCGCGUGCCUCAAAUCGACCGGCUGGGUCUUCUGUCCCCUAAGCGUUGUGGAAACUAUUCGCUAAAGGGUGCUCGGGAGGCUACGCCGUAAAACAAACCCAUUUCUAAGGUUGACCUCGUAUCAGGUAGGGAUACCCGCUGAACUUAAGCAUAUCAAUAAGCGGAGGA
rnacentral:misc_RNA from 1 species